rnacentral:rRNA from 1 species
AACACAUGCAAGUCGAACGAAUAAGAGCCCAAGCUUGCUUGGGAGUUCUGUUAGUGGCAUACGGGUGAGUAACGCGUGGGAAUCUGCCCAGUAGUACGGAAUAACAGUUGGAAACGACUGCUAAUACCGUAUACGCCCUCCGGGGGAAAGAUUUAUUGCUAUUGGAUGAGCCCGCGUUAGAUUAGCUAGUUGGUAAGGUAAUGGCUUGCCAAGGCUACGAUCUAUAGCUGGUCUGAGAGGAUGACCAGCCACACUGGGACUGAGAUACGGCCCAGACUCCUACGGGAGGCAGCAGUGGGGAAUAUUGGACAAUGGGCGAAAGCCUGAUCCAGCAAUGCCGCGUGAAUGAUGAAGGCCUUAGGGUUGUAAAGUUCUUUCAGUAGGGAAGAUAAUGACGGUACCUACAGAAGAAGCUCCGGCUAACUUCGUGCCAGCAGCCGCAGUAA